CUAAGGUGGCCCGCGGAGUGGGCGAGAUUUGUUUGCUUGUUUGUUUGGUAGCAAUCUUUGUUUCCUGUCAACUUCUCUCACAGAAAAAAUAUGGAAAGGCCAACUGCCAGUCUUCACCGCGUCAAAACAAAUGUCUGGUUGGGCUCGCCGAGUUACUAUUGUUGGCGAAGUCCAAGGAAUUGAGGAUGAAGAUGAAAGAAAAGAGCCUCCUAAUUGUACACACCAGAGAGAGAAGCAGGUGUUUAUACCACUGGAACUUUGCCUUGCAGAUUAUUUACAAAAUCUUGCUCCUUCAUGCCCAUCUCAGAACAAACACAAUCUGCAUUCAGAACAGGACCGUUUACAAGUUCAAUGGAGUUAUUUUGGACUGAGUGACCAAAAGAUGAUAUACACAGAGAUGAGAAGAGCUGAUUUGGGCAGCAGGCACGGAAACUGGUUCAGGGUGCUGAACAAGGAAAGGAGAGAAAAUAUGACUCAUUGCUCUUGGUGUAAUCCCCAAGGACCAGAGAAGCUCUACUUUAAAGCAACAUCAAUACCUCUGGAAAGUUUAUUGGCUCUGCCUUCAAAAUAUAUUCAGAAUUUAGGAAGUUCUUCAGGCAAAAGGAAUAUAAGACCAACCAUAAAACUUGGAUCUACAUCAAGAAAUGAAGAGCAUUGGAAAUGGAAUCAAGCAAGGCUGGCAAUGAAUGAUUCAAGUAAAUCACUGGAUGCCUUUAUCUCUGGGUAUUUGGCAGUUUGGUGCAGACACUAAAGGAAAGAGAGUCCUCAAAGAGUGACCAAUGGAAGAGAAGAGACCAAAGUUCAACAUGUCAGUGGUACUAUCAUUGAUCAGAUUGCUACAGCCAGACACUGGAGUGACAUCUUUGAUCCUUUUCUCUACUUUAAAUUUCCCCUACCAGUGAUGCUCCUUCCAAUCACCCAGUCCCAUGUAUUCUAGUUGAGAGGGAGAGAAUGCGCAUGUACAUGCACACGAGUUGGAGAUGGGCAGAGGGAGAGAGAAUCUCAAGCAGGCCCCAUGCCCAGCUCAGAGUACAACGUGGGACUUCAUCUCACAACCCUGAAAUCAUGACCAGAGCUGAAAUUAAAGUAAGAUGCUUAACCAACACAGCCCCCAGGCACCCCUAUACUUUUCUACUUUUAGUAGUUAUUUUAUUUUAUAAUAAUUAAUCAUGUAUUUUUCCCUUGCUAGAGUACAAGACCUUGAAAGCGAAGACAGUGUCUUUCCCUCUGUAACAUUCUUACAGUGACCGAUAAGGCCUUGCAUCAUCUGCUGCCAUCACCUUUUCUGCUCUCAUUACCUAAAUUCUCCCUCAUUUCUUCAUUUCAACUUCCUUACUUGUCUCUCUAACUUGCUUUCUCCAGCUUGGCCUCUUUGCUGCUUCUCUAACUUUCCAGGCAUGAUCCUGCCUUAAGGCCUUCAUACGUGCUAUCCCCUCUACCUAGAAUGUAUUUCCUCCAGUUUUCUGUGUGGCUCUCUCCCUCAUCUGCUUUGGAUUUUUAUUCAAAGGCCACAUUGUCAAUGGAGUCUUCUCUGACCAUCCGAUCUCUUACCUCCCACUAACAUUCCUAUCCCUCUCCCUGCUUUAUUUUUUACUUUAGCUUUUACCACUGUCUAAUAUACUUUUAUGGUUUAAUAUCAUUCCCGCUACACUAGAAUGUGAACUCCAUAAGGGCAAGGACUUCUGUCUUUUUGGUUCAACUGUCUCCCCAGUACCUGGAGUUAUGAUCUAACACAAAGGAGUCAGUGGAACUGUUCCCACUACUCUGACCCUAGUCAUUUUAUAAAAUAAGCCGUUCAUCUUUUUAGGCACUAAAUUAUUCUAAUCACCUGGGAAGUCUUUCAUCUUCCUGAUUGCUUUAACCUGUUAUUUCCAGAAUAAGUAUGUCUUUGGAGGGGAUGGAGAAACCAGAACUAAAAAUCAAUCUUCUCAUGAGAAUCUGAAAGCAGAAAUUUACUGAGGUCCUUUAAGUUUCAGUUGUAUCUGAAUAAUAAAUAUCCUGAAAACUAAGAGAACAUUUGAUGUGAGGCCAGAGCUACUGGUCUUAUUAAACAUGCCUCCUCUUCCUGGACAGCUCCUAGGGUAAUGGUUCCUUAUCUUUCUGUGAAGGGAGUAGAUGCUCAGGGAAAAACUGAUUCUCUCAAGUCACUGAUGCCCUUUUUAUGUUGAAACCCAUGGAUUGGCCUGACAGUACAAUCAGCCUGGUCAUUUGGGUAGAAAUGUGAGGUUUCUAAAGCCAAACCAGCUGUGCAGUUAGAUGGAGACCCAUUUCCUGAGCAGGAAAUGGCAAAGAAGAAUCAUAUUAAAUGACCACAAUGUGGGUAUCUAGUCAUUUUGUAAAAUUCCAACACCUUGCAAUGAUCAACAACUCUAGGGGAAAACCACAUCCAGUCUCACAAUAUGUAAGCCUGAUUCAUGACUAACGAUUCAUCACAGAUGUUUGAUUCAACUUCCAUUUUCAGAGUUAUAAGAUGAGCAAACAGAUGCUCACCACCCUGUAAUUUCAAGGGAAUAUCUUACUGCAACUACAACUAAGCACAGUUUCUAUAGGAACAUGUGAAAAAUUGUUACAGAGAAAACUGGGAAUGAUCAUUUAUAACACAAAAUAGAAGUGAAAGUAAAUACAGCAAAAUUUGAAUUUUUGACCCCCCAAGGUAAAGAUCCUAGUUAGUUAAAGCCAAAGGAAAGGAGAAAAUGGAAUGCCAUAUUUGAUUGGGUGUUCUAAACACAAGACUUGCAAAAACAGCUCAUGCCAUGUCAUCAUUACAAAAUAACAGAAGACUUGCCAACAAAAAGGAAAUCAUGUGGGUACAAUGAGAAAACAGAGUUGAAGAAGCUGUUAUUUAGUUAAACGUUCUAACAAUGCAGAAGAUUUGGGUAACAAUUAGGCUGCAAAUGAUCAAGAUAAAGUUUGGGAGAAGAGGAAGAUAGCAGCCAUCAAUUGUGUGUUGCUGGAGUGAAGUUCAACGGGAACCAAACUGAAAUGUUUGGAACCAGAAUGAAAGUCUACGUGGUAAUUUAAUUAAAACAGACGUCCAGACCAGCAGAGAAGGAAGGAAAAGAGAGAGAUGUAGAACUAGAAAAGAUAACUUCUGGAAGAAUUUCCUGUAAUUGGGAGCGAUUAGGUGAAAUGGUGAAGUAUGGUUGUAGUUCAGAAGAAAGGAU